AUUGAACGCUGGCGGCAGGCCUAACACAUGCAAGUCGAGCGGAUGAAGGGAGCUUGCUCCUGGAUUCAGCGGCGGACGGGUGAGUAAUGCCUAGGAAUCUGCCUGGUAGUGGGGGAUAACGUCCGGAAACGGGCGCUAAUACCGCAUACGUCCUGAGGGAGAAAGUGGGGGAUCUUCGGACCUCACGCUAUCAGAUGAGCCUAGGUCGGAUUAUCUAGUUGGUGGGGUAAAGGCCUACCAAGGCGACGAUCCGUAACUGGUAUGAGAGGAUGAUCAGUCACACUGGAACUGAGACACGGUCCAGACUCCUACGGGAGGCAGCAGUGGGGAAUAUUGGACAAUGGGCGAAAGCAUGAUACAGCAAUGCCGCGUGUGUGAAGAAGGUCUUCGGAUUGUAAAGCACUUUAAGUGGGGAGGAAGGGAAGUAAGUUAAUACCUUGCUGUUUUGACGUUAACAACAGAAUAAGCACCGGCUAACUUCGUG
rnacentral:rRNA from 1 species